rnacentral:rRNA from 1 species
AUGGUUGAGACUGAUGCGUGUGAUGCGGGUGUGGGAGCAAUUCUCCAACAUCAAGGACACCCCAUUGCGUACAUGAGCAAGGCGCUCUGCCCUCAGUUCAGAGGAUUGUCAACCUAUGAGAAGGAGUAUCUCGCUAUGGUGGUAGCUGUUGAUCAAUGGCGUCCCUAUCUCCAACACUGUGAAUUUGUGAUCCAAACAGACCAGAAAAGCCUGGUGCACCUUGAAGAACAACGGCUCACGGCCCCGUGGCAGCAGAAGGCGUUCACUAAGCUGUUGGGGCUUCGCUAUACAAUCAGGUAA